CCCUGCACAAGCGGUGGAGCAUGUGGUUUAAUUCGAUGCAACGCGAAGAACCUUACCUACUCUUGACAUCUACAGAAGCCAGCGGAGACGCAGGUGUGCCUUCGGGAACUGUAAGACAGGUGCUGCAUGGCUGUCGUCAGCUCGUGUUGUGAAAUGUUGGGUUAAGUCCCGCAACGAGCGCAACCCUUAUCCUUGUUUGCCAGCACUUCGGGUGGGAACUCCAGGGAGACUGCCGGUGAUAAACCGGAGGAAGGUGGGGACGACGUCAAGUCAUCAUGGCCCUUACGAGUAGGGCUACACACGUGCUACAAUGGCGCAUACAGAGGGCGGCCAACUUGCGAAAGUGAGCGAAUCCCAAAAAGUGCGUCGUAGUCCGGAUUGGAGUCUGCAACUCGACUCCAUGAAGUCGGAAUCGCUAGUAAUCGUGGAUCAGAAUGCCACGGUGAAUACGUUCCCGGGCCUUGUACACACCGCCCGUCACACCAUGGGAGUGGGCUGCAAAAGAAGUGGGUAGUUUAACCUUCGGGAGGACGCUCACCACUUUGUGGUUCAUGACUGGGGUGAAGUCGUAACAAGGUAACCG
rnacentral:rRNA from 1 species